rnacentral:rRNA from 1 species
GUCCACGCCCUAACUAUGGAUACUCGACAUCAGCGAUACACUGUUGGUGUCUGAGCGAAAGCAUUAAGUAUCCCACCUGGGAAGUACGUCCGCAAGGAUGAAACUCAAAGGAAUUGGCGGGGUCCGCACAAGCGGUGGAGCAUGUGGUUUAAUUCGAUGAUACGCGAGGAACCUUACCUGGGCUAGAAUGCAGAUCGACCGUGGGUGAAAGCUCAUUUUGUAGCAAUACACGGUUUGUAAGGUGCUGCAUGGCUGUCGU